GUGCUUAAGAUCAGGAAUCUCAGUCUCCAGGAUGAACCAAGAAGCCGGAUACCCUGGCUGAAGUCUGCCAAGGCUCAGAGGAGCACAGCAGCAUGCCAGAUCUUCCCUGGAUUUGAGCAUAACAGCCUGGAUUCACUAGCUUGUUUUGGUGGCUAGCUUCUUCAGCUAAUGGAUGACACAGAGAAAUACCUGAAUCUAUCCUGUGUCUGUGAGCACCAAAUUCCUAGAUUGCAAGACCAGCCUAAUUCUUUGCUCUGCUGGAAGUCAUCUUAAGAGGCUGCUUGACGUGGGCCUCAGGAAUGCCUUGUGGAACUUCUGCACUCAGCUCUUACUCCAUCAUCACCGCCUUGCAGAGAGCGGUGGAUGGCUGCAUCUGGGAGUCCAUCUAAGUGAGGGGCUGGUUCACUUUGAACACUGGUGUGGAGCAAGGCUACACUUACUUUCUGGAGCUCUUUAGCAUUAUCAUUCGUAACUACUGUGUAGGCAGCACGAGCAGCAGCAUUCUGUGGGGUGGAUUGCACAUAUCUUGGAAGCGUAAAUUGUGCUAGUAGCACUGCGUUACUGAGCCAUAGACCUGAAAAAACCUGUGAAGAUACAUAACCUAGCAAAAGCAGUAAGCCAGACAGGAUUUAAAAUCAGUUAUCAAAGCAAACAUCCCUGAAAGCUUAAUACCAAGCAUCAAAGUCAUGCUAGAAAACACAAAUUCUGGGAAAGCAGAGCUUGCCAGUCCUGUCCAUAUCCCACUUCUGACUAAUUAGGAAAGAACUGACAGUAAAAAUAGGAAAGUCUUGCACCACUCAUUUCAGCAUAUGUA
rnacentral:lncRNA from 1 species